UAAUGUAUCGUGUUUUUCUUUUCUGUGCUUUAAUUUGUCUACAAAGUGAAAAUAAGUAUAAGAGCUUUUAAGUAUACACAGACAUGCGCUUCUUAAAUUUAGCUUAAUUGGCUCCACAGGUAGGAAGUAAAAAAGUAAAAAAAAAACUUCCUUGCUGUACUUAAUUUUUACUCCCUACAUUUUUAAACAAAUAUCUGUAGUUUCCACUCCGUAUAUUUUCAAAACAAACUCGUUACUUUGGGUUUAACGCAUUUGGGGGAAGUUAAUAUUUCACGUCACUGCAGGCCUUCAAACAAUGAGAUUUGAGCCUAAACAGUGACACAUGAAAGGCAGUCGCGUUUUAAUCAGUAGAGAUGAAAGAGCAAACCAUGUACCGUAGUUUUGAUUUAUUUAUUUUUAGCACAACACCAGAACAACCCCACGUGCCCAUAAUUUGCGGUACUUCAGAAAAAAAGGAGUGAACAUAAAAGGGAGUAAAAUGUUGUGGCAGGAAGAGAAAAGAAUGAGAGCUAACUUCACUCAGAGAUAUAGAAAGAAAGAGAAAGAAACCAGGCUGUAUUUAAAGCUCGAAAUUACUUGCCAAGUGGUAAGGACCGUUCAUGGUCACACGGUGAGAACAUUGGUGUUGACUAUGAAGAGAUAUGGUCAGACAGGGGAGGGGCCAGUCAGAUUUAUCAACUCAACCUCCUUAAAGCAUGGAGAGAGGCUGAAACCAAUCUCUAGUGAGCCCGGUUAAGGAAAGAGAUGAGUUGGUGCCUGAGAUGCCAAAUUCCAACAUCCUCAUUCCCGCCAUUGAGAUAACACUCUCACACAGGCCCAGAGAGCAGAUGUUGCUGCA